ensembl:ncRNA C18E9.12 ncRNA
ACGUCGUCGUUCUUGCGCGGAGCCGAAAAUACGAACUGUUGGCUGGUGGUGGUGGGGGCUCCCAUUGUCACUUCUUUGCCUUCGAGUUCGAAUUUCACAACUUACACCUCACUAAUUUGUGCGCAAUUCUUGUUCCC